rnacentral:rRNA from 1 species
UACGGGGGGGGCAAGCGUUGUUCGGAAUUACUGGGCGUAAAGGGCUCGUAGGCGGCCAACUAAGUCGGAUGUGAAAUCCCCAGGCUUAACCUGGGAACUGCCUUCGAUACUGGGAGUCUCGAGUCCGGGAGAGGUGAGUGGAACUGCGAGUGUAGAGGUGAAAUUCGUAGAUAUUCGCAAGAACACCAGUGGCGAAGGCGGCUCACUGGCCCGGUACUGACGCUGAGGGUGCGAAAGCGUGGGGAGCAAACAGG